GAUGAACGCUAGCGGGAGGCCUAACACAUGCAAGCCGAGCGGUAUUGUUUCUUCGGAAAUGAGAGAGCGGCGUACGGGUGCGGAACACGUGUGCAACCUGCCUUUAUCUGGGGGAUAGCCUUUCGAAAGGAAGAUUAAUACUCCAUAAUAUAUUGAACGGCAUCGUUUAAUAUUGAAAGCUCCGGCGGAUAGAGAUGGGCACGCGCAAGAUUAGCUAGUUGGUGAGGUAACGGCUCACCAAGGCGAUGAUCUUUAGGGGGCCUGAGAGGGUGAUCCCCCACACUGGUACUGAGACACGGACCAGACUCCUACGGGAGGCAGCAGUGAGGAAUAUUGGUCAAUGGGUGCAAGCCUGAACCAGCCAUCCCGCGUGAAGGACGACUGCCCUAUGGGUUGUAAACUUCUUUUGUAUAGGGAUAAACCUACCCUCGUGAGGGUAGCUGAAGGUACUAUACGAAUAAGCACCGGCUAACUCCGUGCCAGCAGCCGCGGUAACACGGAGGGUGCAAGCGUUAUCCGGAUUUAUUGGGUUUAAAGGGUCCGUAGGCGGACUUAUAAGUCAGUGGUGAAAGCCUGUCGCUUAACGAUAGAACUGCCAUUGAUACUGUAAGUCUUGAGUAUAUUUGAGGUAGCUGGAAUAAGUAGUGUAGCGGUGAAAUGCAUAGAUAUUACUUAGAACACCAAUUGCGAAGGCAGGUUACCAAGAUAUAACUGACGCUGAGGGACGAAAGCGUGGGGAGCGAACAAGAUUAGAUACCCUGGUAGUCCACGCCGUAAACGAUGCUAACUCGUUUUUGGGCUUUAGGGUUCAGAGACCAAGCGAAAGUGAUAAGUUAGCCACCUGGGGAGUACGCUCGCAAGAGUGAAACUCAAAGGAAUUGACGGGGGCCCGCACAAGCGGUGGAUUAUGUGGUUUAAUUCGAUGAUACGCGAGGAACCUUACCAAGACUUAAAUGGGAAUUGACAGCUUUAGAAAUAGAGCUUUCUUCGGACAAUUUUCAAGGUGCUGCAUGGUUGUCGUCAGCUCGUGCCGUGAGGUGUUAGGUUAAGUCCUGCAACGAGCGCAACCCCUGUCACUAGUUGCCAUCAUUCAGUUGGGGACUCUAGUGAGACUGCCUACGCAAGUAGAGAGGAAGGUGGGGAUGACGUCAAAUCAUCACGGCCCUUACGUCUUGGGCCACACACGUAAUACAAUGGCCGGUACAGAGGGCAGCUACACAGCGAUGUGAUGCAAAUCUCGAAAGCCGGUCUCAGUUCGGAUUGGAGUCUGCAACUCGACUCUAUGAAGCUGGAAUCGCUAGUAAUCGCGCAUCAGCCAUGGCGCGGUGAAUACGUUCCCGGGCCU
rnacentral:rRNA from 1 species